UAUCCGGUUGUCGUCUGUAGUCUUCCUCGAAAUUCGAACAUCGAGUUUACCCAGUCACUGCUCAAUUUGCCAUGAGUGAUGUGGCUAAUAUCCUUUACGAACAUUCCCAGAUGAAGAUAUCUAAACUUGAUAAGGAUACAAGUUCUUCCACAAACAAUAUAUAUUCAACUAUCAACGACCCAGAAAACGGAGGCAGUGGGAGAACCUAUUCUAAUACCUAGCUAACAGUAACCGCCAAUGGAAGAGGGUGAAAGGAUUCGCUAGCAGUUCCAGCUGUCAGAGAAGGGAGAGUAGGCUACUCUGGAUAGGGCAGAUACAGAGAGAUGUAAAACCCUGUCUGCAGAUGAAGAGAUCCCAAUGACUGUCCCGAGAGAAUAAGGGUACAUCCUUGUAUACCAUGGAUUAUAAGUGUACCUAUCACCCAAGGAGCCCGUCAUCGUAAACCACUUCUGUUCAUGUGCAGCUGGGAGAGCUUUGUGCAAUCUGGUGCCUCUACUCUUCCAGACUGCACAUUACACCACAAUGGGGUUGAAGAUCGUGCCACCACCAUUGCCUUGCACAGGGAUACUGCAGUCGUGACACAGGCCAAGUUUUGAAAUUGAGAUCAUUUUUCAUAUUGUCAUAGAGAAGACAUAUUUAGCAUUUCUGUAAACUCAUAUUACUGCACAUCGUUCUACAUUCAUCCUGAAUCUUUCUUUAUUAUUUUUUUGACCAGAGCCCACUGAUGAAAUGCUUGUGAGGAAGCCAAGGACAUCAGGCAGGAGUGGCAUAAAAUCCACUCUUUACCAAGCAAUCCCUGGGACCCUUCCUGACGUGACAGUGCUGUCUGCUGGACCAAGUUUGAGGAGCAUGAGACCAUAACCUGCCAUUACCAAGGUGUUGCAUGGAUUGGAAGAAAUUACUCUGGUUGACUCUAAAUUUGGUCCAGUAUUGUCAUAUCAGUGUCCCUUUACUGUCACUAGAGAUUCUAAAGCAUUCAGAUGCUCCUGCUUUCCCCCAACUCCCAGUAAAAGAAACGGUCAUUUAAACUUUGUCCCUACUUGCACUCAGUUUUACCACAUGGAGAGCUUAAAGGUGUCACCAUCAUUGUCAUCUGCUAUUGAGAAUGGUACAGUCGAGCAGUCUGCCCGUCCACUAUGGAAGAAAUUAAGAAACCACAUGUGACUGCUACCCGGUUUAGUGAGGCAUGCCACGUGCGUGGGGUGUCAUCUCGUGCCCUAGCCAUGAGAAUGCUUAAAGGUGAGCAGCAAACCGAAGCUAUGAGAAAGGGGCUUGAGCCAGAGGUUCUAUAGAACUACUCUGAAUUUUUUAAUGUCUCGGUCAAACCUUGUGAUUUCGUUGUGAACCCAGAUGCACCCUAUCUUGGGGCAUGCCCUGAUGGGAAAGUUUAUGACCCUUCUGCAACGCCACCCUUCGGGCUAGCUGAAAUCAAGUGUCCUAAUAUUGAGUGUAACUGAUGCGAAGCACAUUAAGUUUGUCAAUGGCCCGGCCAAGCUCAAUCACAGCCACAAAUAUCACUGGCAAGUCCAGGGCCAACUGGCUGUAACCGGUUUAGAUUGAUGCGACUUUGUUACAAGCACUAGAAGUGAUAUUACAGUAGAGGGAGUUGAGAUGAUGCUUUGAUAGCAGAGAUGAGAGAAACUUGACUACUUCUACACCUACAUGGAUGUGUACUUUAAGAUGUAGUGUAGCAGGUGAGCCAAUCCCACUUGGCAGGCCACUGUAACAUUGUUGCCCAAGGCAAUGUACAUAUAAUGUCAUGUAUUUAACUUAUCAAAAUUGUAUGUAGAGUAAAUUAUUAUAAUGAAUGAAUUGUGUGAUCUUGUUUGUCUAUCCCGUGUGGCUCAGUUGGUUGAACAUGACGUUUGCAAUGCUAGGGUUGUGUGUUUGAUUCCCACAGGGGACCAGUACGACGUGAAAGUACGGUUAUGUAUGCACUCACUCCUGGAAGUCACUCUGGAUAAGAGCAUCUGCUAAAUGACUAAAAUGUAAAUGUAAGCAACAUUGCAAUAGAAUAAAUUAUUCUACUAAUUUCAUUGUUUGAUAUUUGCUAUUUUAUGACCGGCUAAACAUAACAUGUCACAGAAUUAAUAUUCAAAUGUAUUUAUUGAAUAAAAUCUUCAAAUUAAAAAAGGA